AUGACCAGGAGAUCCGCGGUGUUCAAGGCUGCCGCGGCCCCUGCCCGCGACAACCCUGAGCAGCGACUGGACUACGAGCGGGCUGCGGCUCUGGGCGGGCCCGAGGACUAGCCCGGGGCGGCCGAGGCCCACUUCCUCCCCGGGCACCGUAAGCUCAAGGAGCCGGGCCCCUGCUGGCCUCCUCCCAGGGCCGGAGCCCCGCGCUUUCCCCAGCCGGCUGCGGCGGCAAGGGCCGGGGCUUGUUACUCCCGGCCGGGGCGGCCCCGGGGCAGCAGGAAGAGAGCUGGGACGGUUCAGUGCCCUUGCCCUGUCUGCCGCCAGCCACCAAGCAAGCCGGCAUUGGCGGGGAGCCUGCCGCCGCCGCCGGAGCCGGCCGCAGCCCCCGGCCCAAGUAUCAGGCGGUGCUACCCAUUCAGACGGGCUCUCUCGUGGCGGCGGCCAAAAAGCCUACGCCCUGGGCGGGGGACAAGGGUGGGGCGGCCUCCCCCGCUGCCACCGCCUCGGACCCGGGCUGACCCCCACCACUACCUCUGCCCGGGCCGCCACCCCUCGCGCCCACCGCCACCGCUGGGAACCUGGCGGCCAGCGAGGGCAGUUGGAAGAGUAUGAGGAAGAGCCCUCUCCGGGGUGGCGGUGGCUCAGGAGCCUCCAGUCAGGCCGCCUGCUUCAAACAGGUCCUUCUGCUGCAAUUGGACCUUAUCGAACAGCAACAGCUGCAGGCCAAGGAAAAGGAGAUAGAGGAGCUGAAGUCUGAGAGAGACACGCUCCUUGCUCGGAUUGAACGUAUGGAAAGGCGGAUGCAGCUGGUAAAGAAGGAUAAUGAGAAAGAAAGGCACAAGCUGUUUCAGGGCUAUGAAACUGAAGAGAGAGAGGAAACAGAGCUAUCUGAGAAAAUUAAACUGGAGUGCCAGCCGGAGCUUUCCGAGACAUCCCAGACUUUGCCUCCCAAGCCUUUCUCAUGUGGGCGGAGUGGAAAGGGACACAAAAGGAAAUCCCCAUUUGGAAGUACAGAAGGAAAGACUCCUGUUAAAAAGCUGGCUCCUGAAUUUUCAAAAGUCAAAACAAAAACUCCUAAGCACUCACCUAUUAAAGAGGAACCUUGUGGUUCCUUAUCUGAAACUGUAAACGUGAAUUGAGGAGCCAAGAAACCCCAGAAAAGCCCUGGUCUUCAGUGGACACCCCACGAAGACUCUCCACUCCCCAAAAGGGACCCAGCGCCCAUCCCGAGGAGAAAGCCUUCUCAAGCGAGACAGAAGAUUUGCCGUACCUUUCCCCCAUAGAAAUGUAUUUGUGUCGUUGGCACCAGCCUCCCCCAUCACGGUUACCAUUAUGGGAAUCCUCUCCAAAGAAGGAGGAUACUGUAGCAAUUCCUUCUUGGAGGGACCACUCAGUAGAGCCUCUAAGGGACCCAAAUCCUUCAGACCUUUUGGAGAACCUGGAUGACAGUGUGUUUUCAAAGCGGCAUGCAAAACUGGAGCUGGAUGAGAAGAGAAGGAAAAGAUGGGAUAUUCAGAGGAUCAGGGAACAAAGAAUUUUACAGCGACUGCAGUUCAGAAUGUAUAAAAGGAAAGGAAUUCAGGAAUCUGAGCCUGAGGUUACCUAAUUUUUCCCUGAGCCAGAUCAUGUUGAAAGUUUGAUGACUACCCCCUUCUUGCCUGUUGCAGCAUUUGGACAACCAUUACCAAAAUUAACUCCACAGACUUUUGAGCUAAACGCUGGUUGGAUAAGCGUAACAGAUGCAGGUUGGAGAUCCAGAAGAAGCAAACGCCUCACCGGACGUGUAGGAAAUAGCUGUGCUGGUAACAGCCCUGUCUUCAGAUAGUUGUAGCAUGCUAUUCCAGACAGUGGCAGAGACCUGUAUAUGUGACUUUUGUCCUCACAUAUGUUAUCACUCGCUGAUAAUACCCUUUCAUACACCCUUGACUUUGUUUUCAUCACUCUGAUUUCACAAAAAGACUUCCAUUCAGCUAAUUGUGAGUUAUGGAGGGUGAUUGGGAUUUCUUUCCCCUUUUUUGGGAAAUGGACUCUCAAGCUAAAUCUAUAGGAUGGCAGAUUAAGAAGUUUCAGGUGUCUGUUUCUAUACAUUUGCCUAUGUUAAUGGGGUAAAAGGGCUUUCUUCAUUAGACACGUGGAAGAUGCAGCAACCCCUUCCUUCAGAGCUGUGCCUGCAUGGCACUCUCCUCUCCCUGGGACGCCCUCCUUGUAGUGGGUAUAGUGGUUUUUACCCGAAAAUAAAACCAAAAACCUCACCAUGAGCUUUAGGACCAGAUAAGUAAUGACAAGUGAAGCGAUGUGGCAAGUCAUCUUCACAGAGUAGAAAAGACAUCGGACAGUUGGUAGAUAACUGUCUGAAAAGAUAGUUGUUUUCUUGAAACUAUUCUGUGAUAUAGCCACGUGGGAAGGGAUGUUUGACUGUGAUUGUUUUCUUAGUUAAUGGGUAACUGAAUUUGUUUCUCUACCCCUCAAAAAAAAACAAAAUCUUUAGAAAAGAAAAUGGGGGUAGUUGGUUUCAGAACAAGUUACAGCUGUAAACAAAAGCAGUUAGCAUUUGGGAUGGCAUGCCAAAACCUGUACAGAUGUCCUUGUAUCACAUCACUUCUCAAGUAUUCCUUCAUUGGGUUUCUUCCUUCUAGCUGAGCUCUUGAGUAGAGACUUAGGGAGGAUAGGGGGAGAGUGGAAAUAGGUGCUUCCUUUGGCUGGCAAAUGUCUACAUCUUGAAACAAACAGAUGUACCUAAUGACCUUCUCCAUUCACUUUGUAAAAAUAGAUUUGUAUGUGUGCCAUCUUGGUCCUCUCCCCUCCCCUGUUUUGUUAAAAUAUCAGGCUAGCACUCUCAGGCCACUUUCGUCUCAGUGUAAGAUCCCUAUUAACUACCUGAAAGGAAAAUAGAGCCAAGACCUCUGGUCUCAAAUAUAUAGGAAUUGCCUUUCUUUAGUCUUCAGGACUAUUUUGUGAAAACAAGUAGGGGUCUAAUCUCCUAGAAGGUAGGGACUUUUAUCAUUGAAGAGAAUAUGUCCCCAGAUUAUUAGCACUUUUAGAGGAGAAGCCAAGGUAUGUAGGGUGUGUGGCCGGCCCAUCAGUGGAGCAUGAGAGAGAAUGGGAUACCAUUGUGGGAAGAGAAGAAAAGUUCUUCAGGGGCCUCCCACUGCUAAAGCUUUUUGUGAGAUAUUGAUCUGUGCUUCCUGGAUUUUACUUUUAAAGGAAUUCUUCUGGCAGCACAUGGAGUAUUCUUGGAUGAUCUUGCUGCUCUUAUUUCUCCUUUUGUGUGUGUGUGUGUGUGGCUAUGGGUUUUCAUUUGUAACUCCAUCUGCUUAGGAGAGUGGGCUCUCUAUAAGGGAACCUGCUGUAAACUUCGUUGCAGCAAGGAUGUAGAGAGAAGUAGGACUUAAUUCCACUAGGGGAAUUAAGACACACUAAGGUGUGUCUCUCAUCCCACACCUUAAGGAGAAUGAAAUUUCUAGGAAAAACUGGGCCAGAUUGUCUUUGUUCAUCAUUUUAAUGUGGCAGGCUGUUCAGUUUUCUUAUUCUGACCUAUGUUAUAUUUCUUCAUAACGUGUCCAAAAAGAAAAAAGACCCACCCAAUCAGUGUUUCUUGACUUUGUUUUUUGAUCCUUCUCAGUUUCUUCUUGAUUUCAGCAUAUAUUGGAUUCCUAAUUUUGUACACAAGUUAGCAAAUUUAACCAUUAUGUUUGUACCCUACCCAGGGGACUCCCCAAUUUCUGACUUGAACUAGACUGAGAGGAAUCUACGAGGUGCUAUCUGGCCAGACUGAAGGAGAUUCUAUUUCCUUGGUUCUCCCUCUCCCUGAGGACCUCUUACUUUAUUGUCCCCUCUUCUAGGUUAAUUCUCCUUUGAUUUGACUUUGUUGAGAAGGAGGUUGGAGAGUAGAUUAGUAAAGUUCCAAGAGCAAAAUUACAGUGUCUUAGAGUGUGGGGGGAAAAUUAGUCUUAUUUUUCCCUACAUGGGAUACAACACUGUGAAUUCAAUCUUCAACUGAAGGCCCUGCAGUUCUCCUAAAACAUAGUUGUUUGUUUUUCUUUAACAAAGUUGAAGCUAGUUUUAAUAAAUUAAAAAAAAAAA